rnacentral:lncRNA from 1 species
GGAGGUAGGGCUGGGCUUUGUAGACACCACACUUGGUGGGACAGAGGCCUGCUAGGGAGAGGGCCUGUGUCCUUGCCACCAGCCCAUCUUCCACGCCAUGUCCCCCUGCACUCUUUGAAGGGAGAUGGUCUCUUUUGGGGCUAAGCUGGGGUCCUGGAGCCAGAAGAGAACUGAGAUUUGCUGUGGGGGGUUGGGAGCUGUUCCAUUUUUAGUGGCUGCUACAGGAAGAGCGGCCGAGUGUUUCCCCUUGUCCCUGCAGAAGGCUGGAGUGUAACUGUCCUUGGGAACUGGGUCAGCUGAUAGCAGGGCUGGGGGUGGGGGUGGGGAUCCUGAAUCCUCCAGCAGAUGUCCUCAUUGCCCUGAUCUGGGUGGCCAGUGCCUGUGCUGGACACGGUCCUCAGUCAUCGGAGC